rnacentral:rRNA from 1 species
UAAUAUGAAGAGUUUGAUCCUGGCUCAGAUUGAACGCUGGCGGCAUGCCUAACACAUGCAAGUCGAACGGUAACAGAUAAGAUGAUCUCUUCGGAGUGAAUCUUUGCUGACGAGUGGCGGACGGGUGAGUAAUGCUUGGGAAUCUGCCCAAUAGUGGGGGAAAACUCGGGGAAACCCGGGCUAAUACCGCAUAAUCUCUACGGAGGAAAGAGGGCCUCUACAUGUAAGCUCUCGCUAAUGGAUGAGCCCAAGUCAGAUUAGCUAGUUGGUAAGGUAAUGGCUUACCAAGGCUACGAUCUGUAGCUGGUCUGAGAGGAUGAUCAGCCACACUGGGACUGAGACACGGCCCAGACUCCUACGGGAGGCAG